rnacentral:lncRNA from 1 species
UAUCGGAUCAGGCUUCAGAAUUUUGGCCUGGAAUUGCCAUUCAUUUAUUGCUUUUAAGCAUAUCCAAACAUGCUCUUGACAUUUGAAAACUGGCAUGCACAAAACCUUGCAGCAAAACCAAUAUCUAGAAUCGAACAAAACUGUCUCAAUUCCAACUCCAAAUCAAAAAACUGACCCAUGAACUCAAUCAAAGAUUAGAAGGGGGGGAAAAAAACUCUCUAAUGCUACGACAGAAAGAGCAUUCAUGCAUGUCAAAAUCAUGAAGAACAAUUGUAAAAAACCCUUGAAACCGAUCUAAAUAUACACUGAAAUGACUAAGGUUUUCCGGACAAUUUCACUGAAUGACGGUUCUAGAGGAUAUUUUCUGCGACCCAUGACCCAAAAAGAUAAUACAACCUGUCAAAGGGCAAGAUUCAGGAAAGCAGGUUCCAAGCCCUUACUUUCCACCCAAGGAAGGGAACUGCCCAACAUCUUCAAUAGCUGGGGCUUGCAUGUUGUUCCUAUUGCUUCCACCAUAUCCUCCUCUACCACGUCCCCUGCCUCGGCCACGGCCGCUGGAUUGGUAGUUCUCCCCCUCAGCCAGCUUAAGAAACUCAUUUAUACUUACGGCCUGCACAAGAACAAAAACCAAUUUGUUAAAGCGUUAGAGUUGCAUUGGGUUAAAGGUUGUAACAGCUGUCCACAAGAGGCCAAAGAUUUUUAAUUAGUUAAGGAGACCGUCUCUCCUACCAACACAUUUGACAAAUAAGCCCCUGAAUCACAGCCAUUUUUUCUCAAAAAAAUAUGUUUUGAAUAGUGAUUAUUAAGAGAAUGUGUAGUUAAAAAGUAAGAAAAAGUUUUGAGUUUAUAUGCAGAAUAUAUUAUUGUGUGAAUGUGUAAUUGAAAAUGAGUACGUAGGAAAAAGAGUUUUCAAAUAAUGGUUGUCAAAUAGGAGCUAAAUUAGAUGUAGAUCUAGUUUAAUAGAACUAGACCGUUACAUUAAUACUUAAGCUACAGGCACGAUUAUUUGUCAAAUUCAUUGAUAGGAAGAACGGUCCCAUCAUAUAAAAAUACACGCCAUAAAUAACUAACGAGCAUAAGUUUUCGUCCAUAUAAAACCAAAAGGCGCAUCAAUAACUUAACAUUGAAGUUCUAUGGUCAGUAAUAUGGUCAAAAAUCAAGUCUAAGCAUAAUAUUUUUCUUUCUUUAUAAAUUAAAAGCCAACUGUUGAACUGUGGAUGGGAAAUUUUAGCAGGUUCCAAGCCCUUACUUUCCACCCAAGGAAGGGAACUGCCCAACAUCUUCAAUAGCUGGGGCUUGCAUGUUGUUCCUAUUGCUUCCACCAUAUCCUCCUCUACCACGUCCCCUGCCUCGGCCACGGCCACUGGAUUGGUAGUUCUCCCCCUCAGCCAGCUUAAGAAACU